rnacentral:rRNA from 1 species
CAAGCGGUGGAGCAUGUGGUUUAAUUCGACGCAACGCGAAGAGCCUUACCUAGCCUAGAAUGCUCCUGACAGCCCCAGAGAUGGGGUCUCUUGGGUAAAACCAAGCAGGAUGCAAGGUGCUGCAUGGCUGUCGUCAGCUCGUGUCGUGAGAUGUUGGGUUAAGUCCCGCAACGAGCGCAACCCUUGUCCUGUGUUGCUAAUCCGCAAGGAUGCACUCUCAGGAGACCGCCAGGGAUAACCUGGAGGAAGGUGGGGAAUGAACGUCAAGUCAUCAUGGCCUUUAUGUCCAGGGCUACACACGUGCUACAAUGGACGGUACAAACCCGCCCGCAAACCCCGCGAGGGGGAAGCAAAUCGGAAAAAAACCGUUUCUCAGUUCGGUAUUGCAGGCUGCAAACUCCGCCCUGCAUGAAAGCUGGAAUCCGCUAGUAAUGGCAUAUCAGAGACGAUGCCCGUGAAUACGUUCCCCGGGCUCUUUGUACACACC